UAAGGAUGAUGUAGACAGUGUAAGUUAUAUAGACAGUGUUCGUAUUCUGUCUUAGUGGUAAGAUCCAAGUCGUUUGUUUUCUUAGCAGACUAAAUAUAUACACUAAAUUGAUGAUUGCCUAAAUAACUAUGCGAAUGUUGAAGCAGAGUUCCAUGGAGAGAAUGUCUCAACCAUUUGAUCACCUGCUUUGCUUUGUACUCCUUAGAAGAGACACACGGAACCUGAUUUAAAGAUUCUUCCUUGAUCUUGAACUGCAGGGUUGCAUCACCUGUUUUAAGAGACUGGAGACCAGUAAUAGAAUCUCAAGGUGAUUUCAGCCUCUCUUGUGAUCAGGGUCACCAUGUUUCCCUUCUCUAGGAAAGAGCCCAAGGCAAGUAAUAGUCAAAGUUCUUUUCUUGGUGUGGGUCAUGUGUUUAAGGGCUUUCGUGGUGUUACUCAAACAUAAUAAUUACAGUGAAAAAUUAACCAUGGCUCAAUGAUAAAUAUGAUAUGAGACAUUACGUUGAUUAAUCGAUAACAUGUAACAUUGCUACUUAUUAAUGAAAGAGGUGUCUAUUUUGGCAAUAAUUCUAUAGGGAGAAGUUAGGGAUAUUCAAGUAUCAUGUUCUUUGGUUUUUAUUAAUCGUGGAUGUAUUUUAUUAUUCCCAGUGGAGGUAUGACUUAAUUGAUACAGAUAUAAAAAUGAAUAAACUCUAAGGGAACCAGUGGUGAUGACGGGUCAUGGACGGUGGAUAGUAGGUGUCUGGAACCCUGAGGUUCAAUACAAUAAAUAUUCUGUUUUCUCUAUUUACUUGAUCGUAUGGGUAGAUGUUAGGAAGUAUAAAGAUCAUGUUCUUAUUUUGGAUGAAUACGUUUAGAUGUGUUGUUAUGAAUGGACCAAUGAUAGAACCACUAAAGGAAAUAUAAAUAAUAGAGUAAGAAGAAAAGGGAAAUUAUUGUCUAAUUAGGAACGUAACAUGGUGAAGCAAGAAAUACUAACAAAAUUUGCAAACACUGAUGCCCAUUAUGAAAUAGAUGUUUCCAGGGUGUCUCUUCUUUUGCCAAGGAUUAUAUAGAUAUGAAUAAUUAAGAGUCAGUUUUAUUAUUCUGGGUCAGUGUCAAGUUUGAAGGCUUCCUUUUUGUUAAGAGAAAAAAUCUACAUUAUGAAAGAUUUAUAAAUUCCUAAAUGAGUAAGUUCAAUGUGGAAAGCAAGAAUCAGUGGGAAUAAAAAUGUCAUCAUUUUUUUCUGUCAUUACUGUGGUUUGUACUUCUCAGAAUGGACACAUUCAAGCUAAUCAGGCAUUCCUCCCUGGUCGGUGAGCUUGGUGACAGCAUCUGUGUGUCAGAAGCACAGAGAUGGAUAAACAGGCACGCUGCACCUGAUGUAAGGAUCCUUCCCUGAUCAGGAGCUCUAGGAUUGUUCUGGAAGGAGUAGGAAGAUCAAUUCCUCUUCAGAACGGAUGCUCUAGCUGAUUUCAGCUUCUGCCCUGAUGAAGAAAGAUUGUUGUGUGGCCUGGGUCUUAGGAGGGUAAGCCAAGGUGAGUAGCAAGAGAUUUUGUCUUGGUGUGGGUCAUUUCCCUUAGGGUAUUCACAGUGUUAUUAACAAUUCAUAAAUACCAUCAAAAAGUAAGGUGUUGCCCAAUGGUAAACACAGAUAGGAAACAUACCGAUUAAGUGAUAAUACGUAACAUGGAGAUUGACUGAUGAGAGAGAUAGAAUCUAUGUUGGCAUUUAUUCUAUAGAUAGAAGUUAGGGAAUUCAACCUGCUGAAUCUUCAGUUUUUGUUAGUUAUGUAUUUUACUAUAAUAGAUGAGUUAAUGAUGUAACUGGUAUAAAUGUCGAAAUGAAUGAAGAAAAAGUGGGUCUUUUAUGUACCUGUGAUAAUGACUGGUGGCAGAUGAGUUAGGGACGCUGAAUGAGGUCCAGGUCAAUACGUAGUCUUUCUCUCUGUUUAUUUGAUCCUAAGGACGGAUUUUUGGAUAGUACAAAGAAUGUUUUUACUGGGUUCAUAGAUUUAGAUGUAUUAUUAGAAAUAGAUCAGUAAUAGAACCAUUGAAGAUAUAUAAACAGCAGAUAAAUACAAAAACGUGAGGCAUUGUCCAACUUUGAAGACCUGUUUUUAGGCAAGAAAUAUUAAUAAAAAUUGUGAACACUGACACCCAUUAAGAAUUAAAUGGAUCAAGAGUGUCACUUCUUUGGCCAAGGGUCAUUUAGACAUGAGCAGUUUAGAGUCCAUUUUAUUGUUCUUGAUCCAUCUCAAGUUUGAGGAUCUUUGGUGCUGUUGUUGUUAAAAGAAGAAAAAACGAUGUUAUGAAAUAUUCACAAAUAUCUGAAUGACUGAGUAAAUGAAAUGUGGAAAGCAAGCAUCAAUGUAAGUAAAUGUUUUGUUUUAUUUUAUUUUUUAUCACCAACUCUGCUUUUCAUUUCUCAAAAUGGACACACCGCGAGCUGAUUUAAGCAAUAUUCCGUGGCGGUGAGCUCUGUGGUUGCAUGUCUGUGUUAGAAGCGCAGAGAACCAUAAUGGACACACUUGAGCUGAUUUAACGUCUUCCACGAUUAUGGAGCUCUAUGGUUGCCUCUAUAUAAUAGGAGGAUGCGGAUUAAUACCAUUGGACCUGCUUUAAGGAUUCUCACCUGAUCAAGAGCCCUUGGGUUGCAUUUCUGUACUGGGGAGACAGGAGACCCAUAAUGGACACACCUGAGCUGACUAAGCAUUGUUUCGUGGUGGCGAGCUCGUGAUUGCGUCUGUGUGUUAGAAGCACAGAGACCAAUAAUGGAUAUCCCUGAGCUGAUUAAAGCAUCUUCCAUGGCCAUGAUCUCCUGGUUGCCUCUAACAAUGGAUGCACUCAAGCUGAUCGUAACAUUCCUCCAAGGUCGUGAGCCCUCAGGUUGCAUCUAUGUUGUAGGAGCGUGGAGACCACAACGGACACACUUGACCUGAUUCAAGUAGCACGACCCGGUGGCAGAGGGACCGUUGUGCGUAAGAGUCGGAGUUCUUGUCUGGCUUUCAAACGAUGCACUUGAGCUGAGUUAGCAUCUUCCAUGGUCAAGAGCUCUAUGGUUGCCUCUCUAUAAUAGGACAGAAAUUAAUAAUGGACACACUUGAGCUGAUUUAAGGAUUAACCCACAGUCAUCAUGUUUAUGUUGGCAUCUCCCUGUUAGGAGCAUGGAGAUCAAUGUGAAUCAUAGUCAAAAUUCUUCUCUUGGUUUAAGCGGUACAGAGAAGGCCAACCAUGCCAAUGUGCAGUAUUGGAUUGAUAUGAAACAUUAAAAUGGUUAAUCCCUAAAGAAACAAACACUAAGUUCAGUUAAUCAAAAGGAUUUAGUCUAUUUAUAUAUGAUAGUAUUGAGAAAUGUUAGGGAUAUUGAAGGAUCUUCUUUUUUGGUGUGAUUUAUGCAUAUUUCUUUAUUAAUGAAUUAGUCAGUAAAGAAGCGCAGAUGAGAGUGGACAGAAAGACAGCCAAUCAUCGACCAGUGAUGAUGACUGCUGGUGUCCGACUCAUGGAAGAUGAAUAAUGAGUGCGGAACACUGAGGGCCAACCCAAAAGGAACCUAGCCUAUUCCCCGUAUUUCCAGUCAUACUAUAGGCAGAGGUCUAGAGGCAGGACUAUAAUCUUUUUCUUGGUCUUUGUGUUCAUGAAUUAUAAAACUAUAACUACGAAAGAAUCAAUGGCAGAACAAAUUAGCAAAUGUAUACAUGAAUAAAGGUGAAGAGGGUGAAGCAUUGUUCUUUACUAAAAUAUAUAGUCAGGGAAAUGAAUAUUAAUAUUCACUGGAAUGGAUAAUAAAUGGGCCAAGUGUAUUACAUAUUUGAGUAAUUGUGACAUGGAUGGUGAUAGGUAGUAGGGUAUCACCCCGAGUCAGUUGUUGAGUUUGAGGUUUGUUGUAUUGAGAGGAAAAUAAAUAUUACCACAAAUUAAUAAACGCUUAAAUGACUAAGGACAUGAAAGAUGAGAAUUGUGGGUCAGUGGGGACAGUGUCUCAUUUUGUAAAAAUCAUUGUGUCUUCUUGGUGCUCUUCAGAAUGGACGCACUGAUCUGAUUUUAGCUUCUGCCGUGCUUCAAAUUGUGUUGCCUCUGUCAGGAGAGAGAACAAAGUGAGUAACAGUCAAAGAUCUUAGCUUGGUUUUAAUCAUUUGUUUAAGAGUGUUUCCGGCAUUGUCAAAAAGCAUUAAACAUCAGAAAAAAGUUAUCCAAGGCACAAUAAUAGCUUUAAUAGGAAACAUUCUUACUGUUGAUGAAUCAAAGACAUGGAAAAAAUAUGGUGUAUAUGGGAAAGGAUUCUAUAGAACAGCGUUAAGGGUAUUCAAGGAUCUCGUGCUCAUGUUUUCUUGAAUAAUGUCUCUGAAUUAAUGAUUUAAUUGAGGACAAAUGGAAAACAAAUGAAGAGAGUGAGGAUCUAGAAUGGACCAGUAAUGAUGACUGGUGGUGUACCUCGUCUGUUUCCUGUUUGAAAUGAUCCAUGGGACAGAUGUCAAGAAUAUACAGAUACCAGGUUCUUAUUUUAGAGUCACAAAUUUCGAUUUACUAUUAUUAAUGAAUCAAUGGUAGAACCAUUAAACAAAUAUAAAUAUAUAAGUAAAGAAGAGGAUGGAGUGAUUUUCAAUUAUAAACAUAUGUAAUGAGGCAAAAAAUAUUAUUAAUAAAAAUUGAAAACACUGAUGUUCAUAAAGAAAUAGAUGGAUUAAGAACGUUGUCUCUCAUUUAAGAUCAUGUUGGGGCACCUGGGUGGCUCAGUCGGUUGAGCAACCGACUUCGGCUCAGGUCAUGAUCUCACGGUCCGUGAGUUCGAGCCCCGCGUCGGGCUCUGUGCUGACAGCUCAGAGCCUGGAGCCUGCUUCCCAUUCUGUGUCUCCCUCUCUCUCUGCCCCUCCCCCACUCAUGCUCUGUCUCUCUCUGUCUCGGAAAUAAAUAAACAUAAAAAAUAAUUUAAAAAAAAAAGAUCAUGGAGACACUGUUUAGUAGGAGUCAAUUUUCUUGUUCUCGAUCAUAUCCAAGGUUGAGAUGAUUCCUCUUGUUAAGAGAAAAAACAUAUUUAUGAAAAAUUAAUAAAUGUACCAAUGAGUAACUGAAAUGCAGAACUCAAGGGUCAGUAGAGAUAAGAUCUGUUUUGGUUUUUGUUCUCUUGUUGUUAACUAAUCACCUGUUCUGCUCUGUACUCCUCAGAAUGGACACACCUGAGCCGAUUUAACAUCUUUCAUGGUCACGAGCUCUAUGGUUGCAUAUGUGUGUUAGGAGCAUGGAGACCAGUAAUGGACUCGCUUGAACUGAUGGAAGCAUCUUCCAUGGUCCUGAGCUCCUGGCUGCAUCUAUUUAUUAGGAGCAUAGAGACCAGUAAUGAAUACCCUCAAGCUGAUGUAAGCAUCUUCCACGGCCAUGAACUCCAUAGUUACAUCUCUGCAUUAGGAGCAUGGAGAUCAAUAAUGGGCACGGCCAUGCCAAUUUUGGCAUUCUGUCAUGGCCCCGAACUCGGUGGUGUCUUUGGAGAACGGAGACCCUUGUGUGUGAGUAACAGUCGAACUUUUUGUCUUGGUUUGGGCAAUUUUUACGAGUGGUCAAUGCAUUUUUAAGAAGUAGGAGAUAGAAUCAAAGGCCAAACAUGACCCAGUAAUAAACAUGGGACUGGUACAAAACAUUAUGUUGAGAUGUCCACAUGUGAAACACAGAGACCGAUUUCAGAAACAGAUCUAACGUCUGUGGGAAAUGAUUUCAUAGAUAGCUAUUAGGGAUAUCGAGGCUCUUAUUCUGGGUUUUUUGGAUUCAUGUAUCUUUCUUCAUGAGUAAGUAGCGAAUUGAUGAAUAAGUCAAUAGACAAAAUAUAAAGGAAAAGAAUUCACAAGCUUGGGCCAUUGAUGGUGCCUGGUGGCGUAAGAGUGAAGGAUGACGAAUGAUACAUGUCUGGACCCCUGUAUGGAAGGUGUUGAAUCUAUACAUUGUACACCUGAAACUAAUAUUACACUAUAUGUUAAUUAAUCGGAAUUGAGAUAAAAACUUAAAAAAUAAAAUAGUUCAUAUUCAUUUCCCCCUUUUUUUCCAUCUACUUUCUACUUUACGGAAUGGAUACACUCAAGCCGAUAAUCAUUCUGUAAUGAUCAGGACCUUGAUGGUUCAAUGUGAGUAAUACUCC